rnacentral:rRNA from 1 species
GUGGGGAAUAUUGGACAAUGGGCGAAAGCCUGAUCCAGCCAUGCCGCGUGUGUGAAGAAGGUCUUCGGAUUGUAAAGCACUUUAAGUCGGGAGGAAGGGUAGUAACCUAAUACGUUGCUACUUUGACGUUACCGACAGAAUAAGCACCGGCUAACUUCGUGCCAGCAGCCGCGGUAAUACGAAGGGUGCAAGCGUUAAUCGGAAUUACUGGGCGUAAAGCGCGCGUAGGUGGUUCAGUAAGUUGGAAGUGAAAUCCCCGGGCUCAACCUGGGAACUGCUUUGAAAACUGCUGAGCUAGAGUACGGUAGAGGGUGGGGGAAUUUCCUGUGUAGCGGUGAAAUGCGUAGAAAUAGGAAGGAACACCAGUGGCGAAGGCGACCACCUGGACUGAUACGGACACUGAGGUGCGAAAGCGUGGGGAGCAAACAGGAUUAGAUACCCGGGUAUUCC